AAAACAUAUUGAACCAUGGACUUCAAAACGGAUUAUCAGACACAAAUAUUCCAGAGCCAGAGGCACAAUGGAGAGCCAUCACUGUGGUGGACGUUCGGCCAAGGAACCAAGCUGGAAAUCAAACGGGCUGUGGCUAAACCAUCCGUCUCCAUCUUCCAACCAUCUUCAGAGCAGUUACAAACUGGAAGUGCCUCUGUUGUGUGCUUCCUGAAUGACUUCUACCCCAGGGAAGUCAAUGUUAAGUGGAAAGUAGAUGGCGUUGUCCAAAACAGUGACAACAUCCAGAACAGUGCUACGGAGCAGGACAGCAAAGACAGCACCUAUAGUCUCAGCAGUACCCUGACACUGCCCAGUUCAGAGUACGAAAGGCAUAGUGUCUAUACGUGUGAAGUCACCCACGCAGGCCUAACUUCUGCCCUUGCCAAGAGCUUCAAUAGGGAAACCUGUUAGAGAGAGAAGCCUACCAGGCGCCAUCAUCUGUGUGUUAGUCCUAGCCUGCCCUCUUCCCCUCCUCAGGCCUCAGGCCCUUUUCCCAAGAGACCUACCCUUACUUCAGUACCCCAAACCCUCUUCUCACCACAUUCCCCCUCCCUCUUUGGCAUUAAUCAUGCUAAUAUUUGGGGGGGAAAUGAAUAAAUAAAGUGAAUCUUUGCACCUGUGA